AUGGCAAGCUCAAUCGUUAGCACCAUGGCACUUUGCAGAGCGCGCAGCGGGCUGCUGCUUCUCGCCAUGGCCCUGCUCCCUCUGGGCAUGGCCACGGACGCCAUCGGCAGUAACUGCGCCGGAACCAGGUACGCUGGCAGCGGCAAGGCCAACAUCGACUCCGUCCUGGCGGACCUCGUCGCCAAGGGCUCCUCGGGAGGCUUCGCCAUGGCCGUUGCCGGCAAGGGUAAUAGCACCGUCGUCUACGGCCUCGCGCAAUGCCGCGGCGACGUCUCCGCCAGCGACUGCUCCGCCUGCCUCGCGGACGCCGCCAAGCAGCUCCCCGCCGCCUGCAGCUACCAGUCCGACGCCAGAAUAUGGUACGACUUCUGCUUCAUGCGGUACGAUAACACAGACUUCGCCGGGCAGUCGGACACGGGCGCCGGCGUGAUCCUGGUGAACGUGCAGGCGGCCGACGACCCCAAGCCGUUCAAGAAGGCGGUGGGGAAGGUGAUGAACAAGGCGACGGCGCAGUCGUCGGCGUCGGGCCGCGCGGGGCUCGGCAGGUCCAAGGACCAGUACACGCCAUUCGUCACCAUCUACGGCCUGGCGCAGUGCACGCGGGACCUCGCGCCGCUGGCGUGCGCGCAGUGCGUCUCGGUGGCGCUGUCCAAGUUCGGCGACUACUGCGGCGCGCAGCAGGGCUGCCAGAUCAACUACAGCAGCUGUAGGGUGCGCUACGAGAUCUACCCCUUCUACUUCCCGCUCGACGGCGCCGAUGGCCGCGCCACCACCGAUAUGACGAAAUACACCAAGAUCGUCGUGCACGCUUGA
rnacentral:rRNA from 1 species